GGGGUUGUGGCUCAGAGGCAGAGUGCUCGCCUAGCAUGUGUGAGGCACUGGGUUCAAUCCUUAACACCA
rnacentral:tRNA from 1 species